AGGAGGAAGCAGCCUGCACAAAGGGGCAGAGUAGGAGAGAGCCAAGUGCGUUAUGAAGAGUGGGAAAAGAGAGAGCAAUAUCAGUGAGAGUACCCGUUGUGACCUGGACUGACAGACUACCUCCCUUGUGUACUGGACCGGAUUGGCUGAGGACCCGAGUGUGAGGAUUACCCCUGUAAAACGGAACGGACAACGAGAACGGCUUGUGGACUGUGAGGUUCUCCUCGUCCUCCUUGAUCACAAUCUCCAUCAGAGACAUCCAGUUGACCAGCUCCGAGAUUGCGUGGCGAGAGGCCAGCUUCUCCAUUUGAAGCUGAGGAAAAGAAACGGGCCAAUAUAUGAAAGAUUUCCAGACGUUCUAGAGCAGACUGCUGCCAGCCAUUUAGCUCUGCAUACUCCUUCUGGUACCUGGACAUCAAAUGGAGAGGAACCGGUUGAGUGGGUGCUAUUCAAACUCUCCAAAAUAUCCACUUACAUACAGUACAGACCUGGGUUCAAGUCGUGUUUAUUUAUUUUUUCAAAUAAUUUGAGUUCUUGUUUGAGACCUGCCUUAAGUGACAGAAGGAUGGGGUUGCACUUUUUGGGACUAUUUAAUUGAUCCCACUGCGCCAGGCAAGCUCAAUGAAGCGCAGCUAAAGAAUUCGAGAAAAAAAAUCACAUACAUGGCACUUUAAAUAACAUCCCUUGG